rnacentral:rRNA from 1 species
GAUGAACGCUGGCGGCGUGCCUAAUACAUGCAAGUCGAGCGAACAGACGAGGAGCUUACUCCUCUGACGUUAGCGGCGGACGGGUGAGUAACACGUGGAUAACCUACCUAUAAGACUGGGAUAACUUCGGGAAACCGGAGCUAAUACCGGAUAACAUGUUGAACCGCAUGGUUCAACAGUGAAAGACGGUCUUGCUGUCACUUAUAGAUGGAUCCGCGUCGCAUUUGCUAGUUGGUAAGGUAACGGCUUACCAAGGCAACGAUGCGUAGCCGACCUGAGAGGGUGAUCGGCCACACUGGAACUGAGACACGGUCCAGACUCCUACGGGAGGCAGCAGUAGGGAAUCUUCCGCAAUGGGCGAAAGCCUGACGGAGCAACGCCGCGUGAGUGAAGAAGGUCUUCGGAUCGUAAAACUCUGUUAUUAGGGAAGAACAAAUGUGUAAGUAACUAUGCACGUCUUGACGGUACCUAAUCAGAAAGCCACGGCUAACUACGUG